GAACGCGAAGAACCUUACCCGGGCUUGAAUUGCAGACGCAGGAUACAGAGAUGUUGACUCCCUUCGGGGCGUCUGUGAAGGUGCUGCAUGGUUGUCGUCAGCUCGUGCCGUGAGGUGUCGGCUUAAGUGCCAUAACGAGCGCAACCCCUUUCCUUAGUUGCCAUCAGGUGAUGCUGGGCACUCUGGGGAUACUGCCACCGCAAGGUGUGAGGAAGGUGGGGAUGACGUCAAAUCAGCACGGCCCUUACGUCCGGGGCUACACACGUGUUACAAUGGCCGGUACAGAGGGACGGUGCGAUGCAAAUCGCAUCCAAUCUUGAAAGCCGGUCCCAGUUCGGACUGAGGUCUGCAACCCGACCUCACGAAGCUGGAUUCGCUAGUAAUCGCGCAUCAGCCAUGGCGCGGUGAAUACGUUCCCGGGUCUUGUACACACC
rnacentral:rRNA from 1 species